AUCUGGUGGUUGCGCUAUUACUUUGGCUAAUGCUAAAUGCUAUCUUGGUUGACAAUUCAACAGUUGUAAACAAGUCAAUGUUAUCAUUCAACGCUUUUUGCACUGUCCCGGGCAUCUAUUGGAAGCUGGCUGAGUCAUUUACCUGGCAGUCCCACCCACAUUCUAACCUUAGAAAGGAGCCAACAGAAACGCUCAUCUUGCGUUGGGCCUAACUGGAGCAUGAGGAAAAACCUUGAUGUGAUGUGAAAAAUCGAGCUGUUGCACGCAUGCUUGAAAAUGGAGGCAAUGAGGAUUUUCAUUGUGGCGUUUACUUGCCUGAUAUCGCCAUCGGCAGCGAAGACGCGACUCUCGGUCCUGAACUUUGUUCAGCAUUGGAGGAGACGGCAACCGAGUACCUUGAUAUGGGCACCGCUGACUUGGGUUUGCUGUCUUCCUGGCACUUUCUCUUCUUCAGAAUUCCUAUUAACGCGCUCGUGUCCAGGAUGCACUUCCUUUUUCGGCUUGUCACCAGAGGAAUCAUGGUCGUGAUUCUCCCACACAAAGUGCACGAGCUCUCGACUAGGGUCCCACUUGAGCUCAC